AGGAGGGCCACCCACUCUAUGUUCUCCGGGCCUUUUAGAAAACAUGGAGCUGUUCCUUUGGCCACCUAGAUGUGAAUCUAUAAGAAAGGCAGUAUUGUAAAUAUUGUAGACAUCAAGGGAAUGGGUACUGUUCAAAAAGGAAUGCCCCACAAGUGUCACCAUGGCUAAACUGGAAGAGUCUACAGUGUGCCCCAGCAUGCUGUUGGCAUUGUUGUAAACAAGUUAAGGGCAAGAUUCUUGCCAAGAGAAUUAAUGUGCGUAUUGGGCACGUUAAGCACCUCUAAGAGCCAAGACUACUUCCUGAAAAGCAUGAAAGAAAAUGGUCGGAAAAAGAAGGAAGCCAAAGAGAAAGGUACCUGAGUUCAAUGGAAAUGCCAGACUGCUCCACCCAGAGGGGUAAACACUGGUAAAGACGCUCAGCCUCAUUAGG
rnacentral:lncRNA from 10 species